ACACACCUAAAAAUACCAACAACACAUACAACCUCUUACAAACACCUCAGCGCUAAUCUAUAUAAAUAUAGAAGAACCAAUGCUAGAACUAGUAACAAGAAUUUAUCUCUACGCACAACUGUAAAUCAGCAACAGAAAGUCUACUGAAAAUUAACA
rnacentral:rRNA from 1 species